ACGGGAUUUUAAUUUCUCGGUCUGCAUUAACAAAUAGAACUUUCGCCAUUCGAGUGAGAAGGAGAAAGAAGAACGCUGUAGAGAAUAGGAGCAUAUUGAAUUUUUCUCCUGGCAGAAGAAUAAUUUUCACUUCUUGAAAAAAUGAAGACUUUUCAAUUUUACAACGACUUGAAAGAAUAUCUUUUACGGGAAGAAUUUAGCAACAAUUUAACGGUCAGAGAGCGAAGUGAAAUACGACGUGUGUCCGUGAAUUUUAUGAUUAAAGUCCAUCAUCCAUGCCCUGGCUGCUCUACAGGGUGUAUCAGGACAGGAGGCAGAAGACUUAUUUCUUGGUGGCCCAGAAUACAGUAUCAGUGAAGUGGAAGAAUUUAACUGAAAGAUAGGGCAGCAAUUAAAGAAGGAGAGAAUGCUGUGAUAUCUGUUGGAAUAGAAGAUGAUGCUACUGCCCAGUGCUUCCAGAAUCCUUCAUUUGAGUCUUGGGUCUGAAUCUACUGCGUCAUUGCCAAGUAUUCUGGGGUAAUGUAUCUUGAUUUGUUUACAUUUUGUUUUUCUCCAUAUUCCAAGCUCAUUUACUUGACCUUAGCUUUAAUAAACUGGAUGGCUGUCACCUUCACAAUUGAUUUUAAAGUACUAUACUAUUCAUUACAUAAAAAACUCUGAACAAUUUAGUCCCUUCCUGUAUUUGGUACUGUCUCUCCCCCAACACUCCUCAGUGUAAUCUUUAAUCCACAACCACUGAUUUGCUUAUGAAAGAACUGGUGAAGCAGCUUGUACAUGUACACCAAAAAUAUAGAAUGCCGGCUAUAAAUGAAAAACCUUUCAAAAUACUUUUAAAACUCAAUUUUUAAACUUCACCUCUGCUUAAUUCCCACUUCUAUCAGUUUAUGAUUUACUUCUGGUUUAUGAAUGGAACUGCAUACACUUUGAAAGAUUUACACCAGAUAAUAACCAUUGUUUUUUUUUGCUGUUUUCUUUUUUUUUGUCCAGUGAUGCCCUUUGCCGUGCACCCUGGUCAAGUCUCGUGCAACUGACUGUGGUGCUGAAGAGAGAAGAUUUCUGAAGACCCUCUUGAAAUGGAGCUGCAAUUGGAUUAACACCACAACAGUAUGCUUGGUGAGAAUGUCCACAGGGGCCUGGGGAGGCUGUGACCUUGUGACCCUGAGACGUUGUUUUGUCAAUCAUCCUGACCAACUGGACCUUUAUGUGUUCUUCAACAGGGCCAUCUGAUCAUCCAGAUAUAGUUAAGGAGAAGGACCUUUCAAUUUCCCUC